rnacentral:misc_RNA from 1 species
CGCAGCUUGGGAAGAUUAUGCUACCAUUUUAAGGAGAGAACUCCUUGGGAGCUUGAGCCAUUGGAGAAACAGUCAAUCCAUAUAUAGUGUUUCACUUGGUAGCUGAAUCUCCCACUUGUGAGAAAGUGGCAUCCCAAAUGCUAAAAGUAUCUGAGCAUAAAGGUUAGUUUUGAGCCUUUUAUAGCUUAACUAGAUUAUUAUAG